UACGUAGGGUGCGAGCGUUAAUCGGAAUUACUGGGCGUAAAGCGUGCGCAGGCGGUCUGUUAAGACCGAUGUGAAAUCCCCGGGCUUAACCUGGGAACUGCAUUGGUGACUGGCAGGCUUUGAGUGUGGCAGAGGGAGGUAGAAUUCCACGUGUAGCAGUGAAAUGCGUAGAGAUGUGGAGGAAUACCGAUGGCGAAGGCAGCCUCCUGGGCCAACACUGACGCUCAUGCACGAAAGCGUGGGGAGCAAACAGGA
rnacentral:rRNA from 1 species